GACGAACGCUGGCGGCGUGCUUAACACAUGCAAGUCGAACGGAAAGGCCCUGCUUUUGUGGGGUGCUCGAGUGGCGAACGGGUGAGUAACACGUGAGUAACCUGCCCUUGACUUUGGGAUAACUUCAGGAAACUGGGGCUAAUACCGGAUAGGAGCUCCUGCUGCAUGGUGGGGGUUGGAAAGUUUCGGCGGUUGGGGAUGGACUCGCGGCUUAUCAGCUUGUUGGUGGGGUAGUGGCUUACCAAGGCUUUGACGGGUAGCCGGCCUGAGAGGGUGACCGGCGACAUUGGGACUGAGGUACGGCCCAGACGCCUACGGGAGGCAGCGGUGGGGAAUAUUGCACAGUGGGCGGAAGCCUGAUGCAGCAACGCCGCGUGCGGGAUGACGGCCUUCGGGUUGUAAACCGCUUUCGCCUGAGACGAAGCGUGAGUGACGGUAAUGGGUAAAGAAGCACCGGCUAACUACGUG
rnacentral:rRNA from 1 species